UACGUAGGGUGCGAGCGUUAAUCGGAAUUACUGGGCGUAAGGCGUGCGUAGGUGGUUUGUUAAGUCUGUUGUGAAAGCCCCGGGCUCAACCUGGGAAUGGCAAUGGAUACUGGCAAGCUAGAGUGCGGUAGAGGGUAGCGGAAUUCCCGGUGUAGCGGUGAAAUGCGUAGAGAUCGGGAGGAACACCAGUGGCGAAGGCGGCUACCUGGACCAGCACUGACACUGAGGCACGAAAGCGUGGGGAGCAAACAGG
rnacentral:rRNA from 1 species